AUACUUACCUGGCAGGGGCGAUUCCAUGAUCAGGAAGGUGGUUUCCCCAGGGUGAGGCUGCCCAUUGCAUUUCAGGCGUGCUGCUCCCUGAGAUUGCUCCAACUGUGGGAAACUCGACUGCGUAAUUAACAGUAGUGAGGGGACUGCGUGUGCACUUUCCUCUG